rnacentral:rRNA from 1 species
UGGGGAAUUUUGGACAAUGGGGGCAACCCUGAUCCAGCAAUGCCGCGUGUGUGAAGAAGGCCUUCGGGUUGUAAAGCACUUUUGUCCGGAAAGAAAACGCCGUGGUUAAUACCCGUGGCGGAUGACGGUACCGGAAGAAUAAGCACCGGCUAACUACGUGCCAGCAGCCGCGGUAAUACGUAGGGUGCAAGCGUUAAUCGGAAUUACUGGGCGUAAAGCGUGCGCAGGCGGUCCGCUAAGACAGAUGUGAAAUCCCCGGGCUUAACCUGGGAACUGCAUUUGUGACUGGCGGGCUAGAGGAUGGCAGAGGGGGGUAGAAUUCCACGUGUAGCAGUGAAAUGCGUAGAGAUGUGGAGGAAUACCGAUGGCGAAGGCAGCCCCCUGGGCCAAUACUGACGCUCAUGCACGAAAGCGUGGGGAGCAAACA